GGCCCAGUAGUUUAGCAAACUCAAGAUGGGACUGGAGAGGCCGGGGGCGGGGUUCCAUCCUCAUCGCUCGGAACCCCCUCAAAGGUCCACCGAGUUGUGGGUUCAAGUCCUACCUGGGCCA
rnacentral:tRNA from 1 species